GUGUCCACUGGCAACGCAGGGUCGGUGCCGAAGAGAAUUCGUCGACGCAUCGCCGAAGCGGACCCCUCUCUCUCCUGCCUAAAGCCCUAGAGACGAACAUCUAUAUCGGCCCUUGGAAGAGGAAGGAGAAGUCGGGUAGAGUACUCAUCGUCAUCCUCGCCAACAUCGUCUGAGUCUCAAGAUUCCGCGGUGCGGUCGUGAGAUCGCAAGGUGAGAUGUCAGGUGAUUGCUGAUUGUGUGAUGAUAAUGGGUUCGUCGAAGACGUUCCUUGUCUCCUGUGGUAUUGAUGCUUGUCAGUGUAACCUUGAUUGACAUCGGGGAGGAGGGGUUUAGGGAACCUUGGGAUUUCAUCGAUUCAUGGCUUACGACGAGCAUUCGCAUGACGUCUGCUCUGUCUUUUGAGAUCGGCUGACAUGUAUGUUGCAAUUGCUAAAGCAGAUCCGUAUUAGCUCUGUUUCUGGCACAAUGCAGUUGUUCUCUUCCCUUUCAGUUGCUUUUUGUUCCCCUUCUAUUGUCUAUGACCACGGCGCGAUACUUAUCCGAUGCGCCUCCUCAGAUUCCGGCAUGGAAUCUUGUUCGAUCUGCUCCCGCAUUCUUCUGGCAGUCGGAAGAUGCCGCGUUACCAUCUGAGGAAGGUGAGAAAAACUAUCGAUCUUGCAAAUGCGUUAUACGUUCUCUCACCUUCAAAGUUCAUUGGAAUUUUUGGCUUUGAUUCCUUCUCCAAGUCGAUGCAAUUGCGUAAAUUCCCUCUUGCUGGCAGAGAGAGCUAGUGUGAGUAGAUCAAGGGAGCAUGAUUCUGAAGGAGUUUCCUUAUUUUUGGAUUGCCUAUCAGCAAGAGAACUGUUGCCAUCUUCUACUGUCUCCGUUUCUUCUGUUGUUUGAGACUGACUUGAUUAUUCAAACUUUUCGGUUGAUCGAAGCAUAGAGAAUUAACCUGGUCGCUCAAGAUUGUCUCUCGAUGGAGGCAGCAAAGUCAGUACUUUUGACUCUAAAAUGUCAAUUUGGCCCUCUUAAUGUCAUCACAAAUCAAGCUAUACCAUGGGGCAAGAUUAGAUUUACUAAUAAGCUAGUCCAAGGGCAUCUAGCUGUGGAAGAAAAGAAAGAGAAAACAUGUUGCUGGACUAGUACCCAAGGUUGUUCAAAACUAUUUUGUGAGAGUAGUAUAAUUUCUAUCUGUUCUGCGGGCUUCUUGAUAAGCCUGAAGUUAUUUAAUUCGUUGUGGUGCCAAUAUUAAACAAGUUGUAGAGCUGCUUCAUGUUCAUGUUAUCUAAUUCUUGGGCUGAUAUUAUCUUCUGAAGUUGCAUGAAGAUUAUGAUAGAGCUGGCCAGGAUACCGAUGAAUGGAAAGCCAGGGAGAUUGUGAAGGACAUAGCAAGCCAGGGAGUUAUUAUUUCAAUAGUUCACUGUCUCUUUUUUGCAUGAUCUUUCAAUGAUUCUCCUAGCAAUUUUUUCUAGUGCUCUUUUGAUGUGAUUUGAAUUGUUAUCAAUAUGUAGCUUUAGGGUUACCCAAUUCCAUUUCUUUUUCUCAGGUUAGAAGAACAUGAGAUGCUUAUAAUUGGCUUGGAGGAAGGCCUAUGAAAUAUUAAUAUCAUACUUGUCUGUGUCACAAUAUUCUGACUUUUUUUGCUAAAUUAAACUGAAGUAUUAUUUUAGUUGUCGGGCACCUGAUGACCUGAGUUUCUCCCUUGUUGGACUUUGAAGCUUUUGCAAAACGUUAAAUAAUUAAUAGUGUUUGAUUUACAAGGUCAUGGAUUUUAUUUAUCUUCCUAUGUUUUGUAUAAUUAUUUGAUUGGGGAACAAUGGAGUAUUCUCCUUUGAUUAGGAAGUCAAGAGGUUGCAGACGUUAAGCAAUGUCUUCAUCUUAUUGCCAUCUCCUGAAGAUGACGAAUUUCAAUAUUUUGUUAUUAUUGUUCUUUUGCUGUUUGAUUUUGUCAGAACUUGGAAGGACAAGAUUGGCUUGCAUUGAUUGCCAGCCGAUUUUGUGUUUGUUAUGGCACUGACUGGUUUAUGCUUUAUUAGUAUGACUUCGGUGGUGUUUCUAAUCUCAUCAUCUCAUGUGGGUGAAUUGAGUAAAAAGACCUUGCGGCAUGUUUAUUGUUUUGGAAGUUUUGAAUUCCAGUUUCUUCCUGUGGCUACCUCUGGAUGCAGCCGGGUGACUGAGACACUGAGUGCAGCCAUCACCGCCUGGAAAUGAAGUCUGGGCAUCAGACCUCAUCCAACCCAAGUAAUGUCUUUACAAGCACUAUAUGCCUCAUCUUGCCUCGUGUGAGAAGGCAUGUUAACUUUGAGAAGGUAAUAGAAAUGCAUUUUGACGUGCAAUUUGCUACAUUGUAACAACAUUUUGAGAAGUGGCUGACACAAACAGCACGGUAAUAAAACUAAUGACACGAGGAGUUGAGCUUGGUGAUCCCAUUAUGGUCCUUGGCGAGGUAUGUCUUCCAACCAUUAAUCUGGUCACUUGAUUUUACAGGUAGCUGCCUUGCAAUACCUUGAUGAGCAUAUGUUGCGUCUCUUUGAAUCUGCAAGAGAACUUGUACCAGUUCUUGUUUGCAACCACAAUGUAAGCUAGUUGAAUGUUUGAAGAGGAGAGCUUCUCAGCAGCACCAAGAUGCUUGAUUCAGUACGCCGCAUCAAGUUCUUUUCUCUCAAUAUAUUGGAAGCACUCAGGAAUCUUCCUCGUUUGGGUUGCAUUGCAAGAUAAGGAUUGUUCCCUUAUCCAGAUCAAUCAAAGCAGUGCAGAGAGUGUGACGUCCAAACCCGUCAUUUUAGCAAAUCAAACGAUUCAGAAAUGUGAGAAUCUUUCUCUGCAGCCUAGAGUUGUUAGUGCUGAUGCUCGACUUUCAGAUAAGAGUCAUCAUCUUGAACCUUCAUGAAGUAGCAGACAAGGUUACGUGGAAACAUGCACUUGUAGCUUGAUGCACCAACAUGGUAUAAUUCAUGCUUUAAUUAGUUGUCAGACCUACCACACUUCUAUGAUGCAGAAACAUGUCAUGAAAUUAUAGCUGUGUCC